GCUUGCUUUGAUGGAUGGCGACCGGCGCACGGGUGAGUAACACGUAUCCAACCUGCCGACAACACUGGGAUAGCCUUUCGAAAGAAAGAUCAAUACCGGAUGGCAUAAUUAUUCCGCAUGGGAUAAUUAUUAAAGAAUUUCGGUUGUCGAUGGGGAUGCGUUCCAUUAGGCAGUUGGCGGGGUAACGGCCCACCAAACCUACGAUGGAUAGGGGUUCUGAGAGGAAGGUCCCCCACAUUGGAACUGAGACACGGUCCAAACUCCUACGGGAGGCAGCAGUGAGGAAUAUUGGUCAAUGGACGAGAGUCUGAACCAGCCAAGUAGCGUGAAGGAUGACUGCCCUAUGGGUUGUAAACUUCUUUUAUACGGGAAUAAAGUGAGCCACGUGUGGCUUUUUGUAUGUACCGUAUGAAUAAGGAUCGGCUAACUCCGUGCCAGCAGCCGCGGUAAUACGGAGGAUCCGAGCGUUAUCCGGAUUUAUUGGGUUUAAAGGGAGCGUAGGCGGGUUGUUAAGUCAGUUGUGAAAGUUUGCGGCUCAACCGUAAAAUUGCAGUUGAUACUGGCGACCUUGAGUGCAACAGAGGUAGGCGGAAUUCGUGGUGUAGCGGUGAAAUGCUUAGAUAUCACGAAGAACUCCGAUUGCGAAGGCAGCUUACUGGAUUGUAA
rnacentral:rRNA from 1 species